UGAUUAACUACUAGUACUUGUAUACGUUUACUUGCAAGGUUUGAUAUUAUGCGCUUCGACUGAUGGCAGGAUAUCAUGAAAGGCAACUAUAGCUACCUAUUAUUAUAACCGAAUCUAGAUAUAUGCAAAAAAUAAUGGGAUUAUAAAAGAAAAUGUCGGACAUUUGACCAUGAGUACUUUAAUGUUCCUCAUCAACAAAUGUACAUGUAACACAAACUCCGCAUCCUGCGGAACAGAUCAAUAUUCUGCAGAAGUACAGAAUGCCUCUCUAGCAUAACGCUGUCUUGAUUAUUUUGUAAGCAGAAUUCGAUCUUUCUCUUCAUUCUGUUCGGUUUACUUCAAUUACAACUAUCUAUUUCGAAUCGAAUAUAAGUUAGUUAUCUCCAUACAUCUUUAACUUACCUCUGAUAGAGAAGUUUGUGUGUAUCUCAUUCAAGAAAGGAAAUAUAUGGUCUCGGUAUUUACUUCACUUUGGACUUUAUAUGGAUGAAUUAUAAUUGCGCAAAUAACAUGUAAACAAGUGAAUCAAAAUUGAUUCUGAGCGUGUGCCAACAUUUCAUCAUUGGUACUAUAAAGAUCAGCAUCUAUGAUUCAGGAUUGACUCAACUUCUGAAUCAGAGGAACAGGUGCUGUCCACAUUAAAUUGUUGGAGGAGGGUUGCAAAUUUAUACCUAUUCUCGGCACUCGGGGCAAUAGAGGACAACAGCUUGUACACGUAUUUGAUUCCAAAUGGCAGCAUAGAGGACCAUGUCAACAUAACAAUAUAUACGACCAGUGCAAUGACAAAAAAAUAACUUGUUCAUCAUGUUAUAUUAAAUGAAAUAAAUAAAUGAUUUAGAAACA